AGGAAUACUAUCCCUUAGAGGGUGAAAGGCCCGUAGCUUCCCACAAUUGUAGAAAAUGAUGAUUCUCUGUAGAGUCGUGUUCUUUGAGAUUGGAGCACAAAUAUGUGUGAUACAUUUCACAUAAAGCUAAAUAUUUGUAGGAAACCGAUAGUAUACAAGUACCGUGAGGGAAAGAUGAAAUAGUACUCAGGAAUGAGGUUUAAAUAGUACCUGAAAUCGUUAAGAUGGAACGGAUUGAGAGAGAAAUAACGUAAGAUGGGAUUUAUUUCUAUGUUUCUUUUGGAUUCAUGUUUUAAUUUCUAUCUUAUUAAAAGGAGCAUCAGUGAAUUUUUGCAUUUGCAUUAUAGUUAAAGGGUUAUUUUUGCUUAUGUAAAGAUAUCGCAUUUCCUUCCGCUAAUAUGGUUGGAAAAAUAACUAUUAUUGCUUGCUAUGUUUACUGAGGAUAUCAAUUAGCUGGGGUUGCCCCUGUUAAUUUAUGUUGCUUCUAAAAAGUACUUUCUUAACCCACUCGUCUUGAAACACGGACCAAGGAGUCUAACAAAUGUGCGAGCGUAUAUAUGUU
rnacentral:ncRNA from 1 species